rnacentral:lncRNA from 1 species
CUGCCAAGCUGUCUCUUGUGGGGGACAUUUACAUUCUGUAGAGAAUCCCUUCCCUUUCCAGGUCUUUCUCUGAUCCUGAAGACAUUGGCUGAGAGUCUAGCACCUUCUAUGGGUCUGAACAGGAAACAUUUGCCAUCUAUUUUCUCUAAGGGUGGCCACCUAUGAAACUUCAUCUACAUAAUAAGAACCUUGGUCUCCACAGUCUCUUAUCUUAACUCAGACUCUCCUUUCUAUUGAUAGCAGACCAAACCAAUGCACAACUCCUACGUACUGAUGGUGGUCUUACGUUUCCCUAAGUUUCUGCCGACUAAACUGUGCACACGUUCUCAGGACCUCCUGAAGCUGCGUCACAGGCGCUGAUCAAAGAACACAACCAAGAGUUUGGCCUUUUCUUCAGCACUGGGAAUUGUGAUCCAAAGCUUUUCCUGAUGAGGCACAAAGUUGGAGAAACAAAACGCAAACUAAGCAACAAUGAAACAGAACAGAGUGAAUCUGCUGUAGCUCAAGAGAGGACGUAGCUGCCCCCACCCCGCAUCCCCGGGCUCGGGUUUGCCUUGCUGACCUCUGCUGCCACCUGGUGCCGCACAGAGAAACUGAGGAGAAACCACAUCAGUCUCCUUCAGCCUCAGCUUCACAUCUGUGGGUCAAGCAACCCUUUCAGAAGCUGAAUAAUGUGGGAAAGCUUUCCUCUCAGGAAAAUGCACACAUCCAACUUUGAGA